GCGCACNNACUCAGUGGUAGAGUGUCACCUUGCCAAGGUGAAAGUCGCGAGUUCGAAUCUCGUCUUCCGCUCCA
rnacentral:tRNA from 1 species